GUGAUACGCUGCGAUAAGCUACGGGGAGGUUCGAAUACCCUUUGAUCCGUAGAUCUCCGAAUGGGGAAACCCACCUAAGGUACUUGGAAAAUCAGAGCAGCCAGAGUGGUCGACAAGGCCGACUUGCUGCUGUGGUUUCCAAGUAUCGCUAAUAGGUAACUUAUCCUGAAUACAUAGGGAUAAAGUGGCGAACGCGGGGAACUGAAACAUCUAAGUACCUGCAGGAAAGGACAUCAACCGAGACUCCGCAAGUAGUGGCGAGCGAACGCGGACCAGGCCAGUGGCGAUUGAGAGACAAGCGGAACCUUCUGGAAAGUAGGGCCAUAGCGGGUAACAGCCCCGUACGCGUAAUGCGAUCAAUCGUCCUCGAGUAAGGCGGGACACGUGAAAUCCUGUCUGAAAUUGGGAGGACCACCUUCCAAGCCUAAGUACUCGUGCAUGACCGAUAGCGAACUAGUACCGUGAGGGAAAGGUGAAAAGCACCC
rnacentral:rRNA from 1 species